rnacentral:rRNA from 1 species
ACGGGUGAGUAAUAUAUCGGAACGUGCCCAAUCGUGGGGGAUAACGUAGAGAAAUUUACGCUAAUACCGCGUACGAUCUAAGGAUGAAAGCGGGGGAUCGCAAGACCUCGCGCGAUUGGAGCGGCUGAUAUCAGAUUAGGUUGUUGGUGAGGUAAAAGCUCACCAAGCCGACGAUCUGUAGCUGGUUCGAGAGGACGACCAGCCACACUGGGACUGAGACACGGCCCAGACUCCUACGGGAGGCAGCAGUGGGGAAUUUUGGACAAUGGGCGAAAGCCUGAUCCAGCAAUGCCGCGUGCAGGAAGAAGGCCUUCGGGUUGUAAACUGCUUUUGUACGGAACGAAACGGCUCUUUCUAAUAAAGAGGGCUAAUGACGGUACCGUAAGAAUAAGCACCGGCUAACUACGUGCCAGCAGCCGCGGUAAUACGUAGGGUGCGAGCGUUAAUCGGAAUUACUGGGCGUAAAGCGUGCGCAGGCGGUUAUGUAAGACAGUUGUGAAAUCCCCGGGCUCAACCUGGGAAUUGCAUCUGUGACUGCAUAGCUAGAGUACGGUAGAGGGGGAUGGAAUUCCGCGUGUAGCAGUG